AACAUAAUCAUUUGGAUAGCCAGACAGCCAAGGCAGAUGUUGACUGGGUUUACUUGCAUUCAGAAUGGCAGCAAUUGGAUAUGUGAUCUUGGACCUGAGUAUGAAGCCAAUAUCGGUGAUAGAGGUAACAAACACACGGAAUUGUGAGUCUCAAGAAAGGUCAGAAAUGAGAGGAUCAGCAUGAGGAACAAGGACAAACCAUCCAAAUCAAGGGAAGAAAGCCCAGGUAUCUAUUAGGCAGUAUAGCCACUGGCUAUGACAGAAAAUGUCACCAACCAGAAGCUGACAAUCAAGAGAGCCCUUUCUCAGGGCUAAGAAGAAGGAGUGAAAAAUAAAUCUAGAGGGGCCAAUGAAAGAUAUCUGACACACAUAAAAUCAGUCACACAUGGGUGAACUGUAAGAGACUGAAAGUAAAUAAAUGAAUGAAGUUACCCUUGUCAAGCCCUCCAGUUAUGGAACUCCUCCAUUUCCCU
rnacentral:lncRNA from 10 species